rnacentral:rRNA from 1 species
AUUGAACGCUGGCGGCAGGCCUAACACAUGCAAGUCGAGCGGAUGAAGGGAGCUUGCUCCUGGAUUCAGCGGCGGACGGGUGAGUAAUGCCUAGGAAUCUGCCUGGCAGUGGGGGAUAACGUCCGGAAACGGGCGCUAAUACCGCAUACGUCCUGAGGUAGAAAGUGGGGGAUCUUCGGACCUCACGCUAUCAGAUGAGCCUAGGUCGGAUUAGCUAGUUGGUGGGGUAAAGGCCUACCAAGGCGACGAUCCGUAACUGGUCUGAGAGGAUGAUCAGUCACACUGGAACUGAGACACGGUCCAGACUCCUACGGGAGGCAGCAGUGGGGAAUAUUGGACAAUGGGCGAAAGCCUGAUCCAGCCAUGCCGCGUGUGUGAAGAAGGUCUUCGGAUUGUAAAGCACUUUAAGUUGGGAGGAAGGGCAGUAAGUUAAUACCUUGCUGUUUUGACGUUACCAACAGAAUAAGCACCGGCUAACUUCGUG